rnacentral:rRNA from 1 species
UACGGAGGGUGCAAGCGUUAUCCGGAUUCACUGGGCUUAAAGGGUGCGUAGGCGGCCUGGUAAGUCAGUGGUGAAAUCCCCGAGCUUAACUUGGGAACUGCCGUUGAUACUAUCAGUCUUGAAUCCCGUGGAGGUGAGCGGAAUAUGUCAUGUAGCGGUGAAAUGCUUAGAUAUGACAUAGAACACCAAUUGCGAAGGCAGCUGGCUGCAGGGAUAUUGACACUGAGGCACGAAAGCGUGGGGAGCAAACAGG